rnacentral:rRNA from 1 species
AUGAAGCCGGAGGCAACCAGGCCAGGGAAAAGAGGAGGGGGCGGAGCGGUGCGAGACCUCGACUGGCACACCCCCGUGCCGGUGACGGGUGGGCAGACCAGCCAGCCUCCUCACGUUACCCCCUGCAACGCCCCACCACGGUCUCCAGGUCAGAUCAGCGAGGAGCCCGCUGGACAUCCGGCCGACGACGAGGACGCGCGGACGGUCAGAUCCGUCCCAGAGACGACCACGGGAGGUGCCAUGCCGGGCCUUGCACACCGGCCACUGGCAGCCGCGCGAGCCGCAGCAGAAGCACCGCGCCCCGCCGGCGAGAGGCCUGUGCCGUCCAAGGCCGCCGAGCCACAGAUCUUAACAACUAGAUUAUAUGCACAGUAUUUGAUGAUGGCUAAGCAUAUCCUGCUCAGCUAUAUGACAAGCAAAUUUGUAAUUGUAUCAGCAUAA